UGGGCGUAAGCGCGCGCAGGCGGUUUGAUAAGUCUGAUGUGAAAGCCCACGGCUCAACCGGGGAGGUGCAUUGGAAACUGGCGAACUUGAGUGCAGAAGAGGAAAGUGGAAUUCCAUGUGUAGCGGUGAAAUGCGCAGAUAUAUGGAAGAACACCAGUGGCGAAGGCGACUUUCUGGUCUGUAACUGACGCUGAUGUUCGAAAGCGUGGGGAUCAAACAGGAUUAGAUACCC
rnacentral:rRNA from 1 species